GAGUUUGAUCGUGGCUCAGAACGAACGCUGGCGGCAUGCCUAACACAUGCAAGUCGAACGAACUCUUCGGAGUUAGUGACGCACGGGUGCGUAACGCGUGGGAAUCUGCCCUUGGGUACGGAAUAACUCAGAGAAAUUUGUGCUAAUACCGUAUAAUGACUUCGGUCCAAAGAUUUAUCGCCCAAGGAUGAGCCCGCGUAAGAUUAGCUAGUUGGUGGGGUAAAGGCCUACCAAGGCUACGAUCUUUAGCUGGUCUGAGAGGAUGAUCAGCCACACUGGGACUGAGACACGGCCCAGACUCCUACGGGAGGCAGCAGUGGGGAAUAUUGGACAAUGGGCGAAAGCCUGAUCCAGCAAUGCCGCGUGAGUGAUGAAGGCCUUAGGGUUGUAAAGCUCUUUUACCCGGGAUGAUAAUGACAGUACCGGGAGAAUAAGCUCCGGCUAACUCCGUGCCAGCCGCCGCCGUAAC
rnacentral:rRNA from 1 species